ACAUGCAAGUCGAGCGCACUCUUUUGAGUGAGCGGCAAACGGGUGAGUAACGCGUGGGAAUCUACCCAUCUCUACGGAAUAACACAGAGAAAUUUGUGCUAAUACCGUAUACGUCCUAUUGGAGAAAGAUUUAUCGGAGAUGGAUGAGCCCGCGUUGGAUUAGCUAGUUGGUGAGGUAACGGCUCACCAAGGCGACGAUCCAUAGCUGGUCUGAGAGGAUGAUCAGCCACACUGGGACUGAGACACGGCCCAGACUCCUACGGGAGGCAGCAGUGGGGAAUAUUGGACAAUGGGGGCAACCCUGAUCCAGCCAUGCCGCGUGAGUGAUGAAGGCCCUAGGGUUGUAAAGCUCUUUCACCGG
rnacentral:rRNA from 1 species